GACAGUUUUUAAUAAAAACAAUAAGCAUCGGAACAUUUUAAAAUGGUAUAUUUAUACUUUAGUUUAAAAAUAAAUAUUUCUAAGAUAUUUUUAAAAGAAAGUGUUAAUAACUUUUUUUUGUAUCUUUUUACAAUUACAAAUCAAAGCACCAAUAAAUAAAGAGACAUAAUAUUACAAUUAAAAAAAAAAUUGUUAGGCACAAUUAUCUCAUUUCCGUUUUUUUGUCUGUUUUCAUUUUAUUUACAAAAAAAAAAACGAGUUUUUUGCCUAAUACACAAAUAUACAGAUACGAAUCAUUCGGCCCUCGCGGAGCACUAGGAGGAAGGGGUUAAUGAUUCCAUCUAUUGGUUAGUAAGAUAGUGGUAAAAUGGUCAGUAGCAGCAUUAAUGCACCAAUCAGAUCCACCGAACCGCUGCACGCUCAUCGGCCUAUAGCAAGCCACCCAGAUAGCCCUGUGCUAGGGGGUACUAAGGUCCGUGACCUGGGGAAGGGGUAUUAUGGUCCGUGACCUUGGAGGGGGGGUACUAAGGUCCGUGACUUGGGGAAGCGGUAUUAUGGUCCGUGACCUUGUGGGGGGGUACUAAGGUCCCUAAUUCUGUGGGACAGGGGAAUUUGUGGGGGACACUGGAAGUUGGGGGGCUACCAAGACUCAUACAGGUAACCCCCCCAUCAUGCCCCCAGUAGAACACCAGGAUCCCCAUUGCACGGCUGAGUUUUGGUGUUUUUCUUGCCCAAAGCGACCCAAAUCCCACAGUGUAUGUGCCAGGAGUCCAUCCAUGGGCAGAACCCAACUGCCAGCUACAGAUUGGCACCCCUAUAUACACUCCCUUAUGGGGGGGCAACCCUUUAUUUCUCCAGGAACAGCCCCCCCAGAACCUUAUUAUUCAGAACAAGGCGGGGCUGUACCGGUCCAUCUGUGCCCAAUCAGAAGCAAGCCCAUAUACUUGCGGCACGUACCAUUGGCUGGGCAACUCCACCCGUUGGGCUCCUCGAUUCUCCAUUAAUGCUGCGCGAGACCAUUUCUAUCCACAGUCAGGUUCUCACGUCUAUGGGCUCUAGGGCUGGAGAGGAACCAAGGCUGCACUCACACUCACACUCACAUAACGGCUCCCUUAGUAGCUCUAUGAUUUACACAUCAGCAUUAAGCACAUUGGGUUACAUUCUAACAAGCUGGGGUUGCCCCACAAUGAGCCCAGGGGCAGGGGCCUCCAAUGGGGUGUCAGGAUGUCCCCGACAUGGGGGUCAUUUCCUAUGGGCAGUGGAACCACCACAACUGGACAGAUCCUGUAGGGGGGCAUUUAGGCACAGAUGAGGGGGACGUUCCUUAUGGGACUGGGGCACUCUAUACAACGCCCCCCCCCCCCAAGGCUGCUCUUUAUAUGACACUAUUACGUUAGCAGCACCGACCAAUCACAAGUGUCGGUGAUGACUUUUUGGCUACGUGACCUAAUGCUUCUCAUUCCAAAAACAACGUUCUAGGUUCCCUUCAUGGCCUGGGCUUGUGACUAGUGCCGGCCCAUACAGAGCCCAAUGGGGCAACGGGGAAUUCAUUUAAUCGGGAACAGACUUUAUGGCCAUUUCUAUCCGUUUCAUUGGCCCAGGGCAGGUACCGUAUUGGAAGUGGCGGUUCUGUCAGUAGAACGUGGGCCACGAGUCACUAAAUGGCAUUUUGCUGAAUCACGUGACCCAUAAUUAGCAGGCAUUAGGGAAAUCCCAGGCAGGUGAUUAUUGCCUUGUACUGGUUCGGUUCUGGCGGUACCAAGGUGGGUAACUGAUCCAACACGCGUGGCCCUACCUAAGCACUGGGCUACCGGUAUCAGGGCGGCGGCCCGGGGCAAUGAAAUGUGUAACAGGUUUGGGCACCGAAGUCGAUUGGCCGGAAUGGAUCCGACACCCAUCUCCCUCAGCACCUUCCCAGAAGCACCCAACACUGACAGAAAUGACAUGACCACCAGAGAGAAGAGAAACGUCAGACAAUUUAUGAAAUUCUUUUAUAAAUAAGCUUAGAUUUAAAUAUGACAAAGAAUACUGAGCCCCCCCCCCCCCCACUCGCUAUUAAAUUACCGGCAUUAAAUAAACACAGGGUGCGAUGCUCUGAUGUACGUGCCGCUAGCGGGGGCGCUAUUUACAUUAGUACUGUCAGGGGCGGGUUACUCCCUCGCUCACUCACACUCACACUCAAUAUAAAUAUGUACACGCGCACAUACACACAUCCCGGCAAGGGCGCAUUCCUGCCAAUCAGACAAACCCAAUGGCGCCACCAACACGUGCCCCGAGCCGCGGCCUCUGCAUAAACGGUGCCCACGUUACAGUAGUUAUUUACUUUCAAUGACAAUGAAAGGCACUUACACGUUCUUGGGGUGAGACCCCCUACAAUGCAUUCUCAGUAUUUGGCACAGGGGGGGGUACCUAGAGAGGAAGGUUACAUGCAGCCAGGCACAGCUUGUGUCUAUGGAGGGUGCGGGGAGUUAGAAGUGGGAGGAGCCAUAUAUGCACACAAGGACGGGGCAAGUACAAAAGGAGCAAAGAACGUGAACGGGUUAAAAUAAAAUGCCCCCCAAGGCGGAGCUAUGAAUCUGUAAGGCGAAGGCCACACAUGGCGGGGACUCGGAAUGGGUUUAACGCUUUAUAUUCCCGUGCCCAAAUCUGCACCGUGGGCCUUAGAGAGAGGCUGUUAUUGCCCCGGCACCACGGGGGGGGGCCUUGUGUGGCACCGGCCUUAGAGAGAGGGCUUAUGGGUAACACUGAUUAAAGGCAGAUACACCCUGCUAUAUUCUCUUACUGUACAGCCCUAUACCCAGAAUGCUCAGCUGCAGAGGCUUCGUGCCCACACGAUCUCUAGAUCUCUACAUUCGCUGCUUUAUUUUUCCUUCAUUGCGGUGAAACCGAUGGAGGGUCAAUGAGUCGCUUCAGUCACUGGCGCCAGGCAGGCACGGGUUAAUUCUAGCCGCCCCAAGUGCAAAAACCAGUGCCGACCCGGGCUACAGAUUCACUAGCCGCACAUACAGGCUUGCUUGGGGACACUACAGAAACAGGUGUGAGUGUGAGUGAGUGUGUAAGUGACUACGCAAGGUUACAGUGAAUGUCUCUUUAAGGACUCCAGUGACAGCACAAAGCA